GGGUGUUUAGUUUAUAAAAAACAAAUGUUUUGAAAACAUUUAAAGGAAAAAAUAUUUUCCAACUCCUG
rnacentral:tRNA from 1 species